rnacentral:tRNA from 2 species
GUCCCGGUAGCUCAGUGGAUAGAGCAGCCGCCUUCUAAGCGGUCGGUCGCGCGUUCAAUUCGCGCCCGGGGCACCG